rnacentral:ncRNA from 1 species
UGCUCGUCAUCGUAGGGUUAGUCGGGUCCUAAGACAAGUCAGAAAUGGGUAGUCGAUGGAAAAUUGGUUAAUAUUCCAAUACCAAUAUUAGUGUGCGAUGUGGGGACGCAUAGGGUCGAGACAAGCUGACGGAUAGAAGUGUCAGUCGAAAGGUGCAAGUUAGGAGAUUGGUAAAUCCGCUCCCGUAUCCCAAACCCAACAGGCUCUUUGAAAUCUUCGGAUGGAAAGGAGAAUUGUUCAGAUCGUCGUGCCAAGAAAAGCCUCUAAGUUUAGCUAAUAUUGCCCGUACCGCAAACCGACACAGGUAGAUGAGAUGAG